AACGAACGCUGGCGGCAUGCCUAACACAUGCAAGUCGAACGAGACCUUCGGGUCUAGUGGCGCACGGGUGCGUAACGCGUGGGAAUCUGCCCUUGGGUUCGGAAUAACAGCGAGAAAUUGCUGCUAAUACCGGAUGAUGACGUAAGUCCAAAGAUUUAUCGCCCAAGGAUGAGCCCGCGUAGGAUUAGCUAGUUGGUGAGGUAAAGGCUCACCAAGGCGACGAUCCUUAGCUGGUCUGAGAGGAUGAUCAGCCACACUGGGACUGAGACACGGCCCAGACUCCUACGGGAGGCAGCAGUGGGGAAUAUUGGACAAUGGGCGAAAGCCUGAUCCAGCAAUGCCGCGUGAGUGAUGAAGGCCUUAGGGUUGUAAAGCUCUUUUACCCGGGAUGAUAAUGACAGUACCGGGAGGAAUAAGCUCCGGGCUAACUCCGUGCCAGCAGCCGCGGUAAU
rnacentral:rRNA from 1 species